rnacentral:rRNA from 1 species
AACGAACGCUGGCGGCAUGCCUAACACGUGCAAGUCGAACGAGACCUUCGGGUCUAGUGGCGCACGGGUGCGUAACGCGUGGGAACCUGCCCUUAGGUUCGGAAUAACUCCCCGAAAGGGGUGCUAAUACCGGAUAAUGUCUUCGGACCAAAGAUUUAUCGCCUUUGGAUGGGCCCGCGUUGGAUUAGCUAGUUGGUAGGGUAAAAGCCUACCAAGGCGACGAUCCAUAGCUGGUCUGAGAGGAUGAUCAGCCACACUGGGACUGAGACACGGCCCAGACUCCUACGGGAGGCAGCAGUGGGGAAUAUUGGACAAUGGGCGAAAGCCUGAUCCAGCAAUGCCGCGUGAGUGAUGAAGGCCUUAGGGUUGUAAAGCUCCUUUACCCGGGAUGAUAAUGACAGUACCGGGAGAAUAAGCUCCGGCUAACUCCGUG